rnacentral:rRNA from 1 species
AACGAACGCUGGCGGCAUGCCUAACACAUGCAAGUCGAACGAUCCCUUCGGGGAUAGUGGCGCACGGGUGCGUAACGCGUGGGAAUCUGCCCUUGGGUUCGGAAUAACAGUUAGAAAUGACUGCUAAUACCGGAUGAAGUCUUCGGACCAAAGAUUUAUCGCCCAGGGAUGAGCCCGCGUAGGAUUAGGUAGUUGGUGAGGUAAAGGCUCACCAAGCCGACGAUCCUUAGCUGGUCUGAGAGGAUGAUCAGCCACACUGGGACUGAGACACGGCCCAGACUCCUACGGGAGGCAGCAGUGGGGAAUAUUGGACAGUGGGCGCAAGCCUGAUCCAGCAAUGCCGCGUGAGUGAUGAAGGCCUUCGGGUCGUAAAGCUCUUUUACCCGGGAUGAUAAUGACAGUACCGGGAGAAUAAGCUCCGGCUAACUCCGUGCCAGCCGCCGCAGUAACAC